CAUACAUGUAAACAUGAUCAACAUAUUGAAGACUGCCAGGAAGGAGACGACUGUAUCUUUUGUCAGUAUUGUUAAAUUGCCAUUCUGUCAGAUGACGAUAUUGACGUAAUUCCACCGGCGACAUCAAAGGAAGGAGAACUCAGUUUAUGCACCAGGAAAACAUUAUGAAUGGUAGUUAGAAAAAAAUAAUCAUAAUCAUGGAGAACGGUAGGCAGGAAGAACAACCUUACACCAUACCUAACAACAUACGACAUAAUUCAGAUAUCGUUGAAAUAGAAGUGAAGAGACUCCGUGUUGUUCGAUUUUUCAGAAAUGUCUCAUUUAAUCACGUGCCGCUGGGAAUACUAACCAUAGCGGUUUCCAUAGUAACCAUCUUUCUCGUUACUAGGGCGCCACGUUUGAACUUUGCAACCGUUACUCCAAUACUUGUCGGAUUUCUGGGUAUAGUGAGUGGGGUAGCAGGGUUUCAUGUCAGUAAAGCCGCUCUGUAUUCAGAAAGAAUCGAGAAGAGUGUCAGCAUACAGAUUAUUAUUUAUAUAAUAGUUGGAACCUGCAUUCUUCUGCUCGUGCCGCUGUAUACGGGAUUUAGCACGGGAAUUUGUGAUCCGUUUACGUCAAUUCUGUGCCCGUCAGCUACACCAAGGGACAUUACUCUAGGGGCUCUGAACAUUGCCACGUGCUUGCUGUUAUUCUUGUCUAUAAGUGUUAAUUUCUGUUUAAUUCUGUGUUGCCAAAAGUCGAUCGGUGUCGGAUUUCUCAGUCGAUACGACAACCUAUAUGAACGUAUCUCCAUGUCGGAUCGUAAGGAGCCCUCCUUCCAGCUCGCGCUGAGAGAUGACUGUUAUCUGAGACUUCAAAAUGGCGGUGAUGAGUUUCCUGAUUUGAAUGAUGAUUGUGAUAAACGUAAUGCCCUUCAGUCUGUGGAGAAUGGUUAUUACACGUGGGAUUCUCCACCAUCUAUAGAAACUUAGAACCACUCAAAUUAUCCGAAGCGAAACAUCCGAUUAAAUACUUCUCACGAUUGCUAUUGUGGCUAGUAAUGGCUUCUACAUUUGGCCAUAUGAAACACUUCAUGAAUUUUAACACUACAGUCAAAUACAGGUACAAUCAAAUAAACGUGCGAUUCAUUCAUUAGCCCCGAAGAUUUGAUUUUAUAUUGUAUUACACUACGACUGGAAACCGUUGCUAAGGUCGGCUUAUUGUUAAUACACUUGGUCAUCUUGAUAAGUUGGCAGAGGUGGAAAAAAGUCAAAACAGUCGGGUCCCAAGUCGUCGCACCUCGACCUCGAGUUCGGACCGAGUCCCAAGUCGCCGGACAUCGACCUCGAGCCGAGUCACAAGUCGCCGCACAUCGACCUCGAGCCGAGUCCCAACUCGCUGCACCUCUAGUUCGGGCCGAGUCCCAAGUCGCUGACUUUAGUACCGAAUCGAGUCGAAUCCCAAGUCUUCACAAAGCCAAAGUUCAGUUCAAGCCGCCAGUUAUCCAAUGAGUCAGCAAUUGAUAGCAAAUAAAGAAAAUUUGAGUUAUGUCCCCUGACCGCGACAAGUCGUGAGUUGUCACGAACACCGAGUCUGAAUCCAGUCCAAGUUGAGUCGCAAGUCGGACUCGAGUUCCAACCUUUGCAAAUUUGAACCAGCACCAAGUUUCUUGUUGGCUGUUGAGCCUGGAUGUUGGCCAAUGAAUGCGCUCAAUACAACGAGUGUGCUAAAUGUCAAGAAUUAAUAACACGGUUGUUUUUAUUGAUAUUAAAGUAGAUGUAAUAAAGCCAAUUUUUCGAUACAAGAAAUAAAAUUGAUAUUGGGUUGAGAUAAAAAAAAAAACUAAUUGAUAUUAAAGAGGCCCGGAUAAAAUUCAAUUUCCCAAUAGGAGGAUAAAAUUGUCAUAUUAACUGGGUCUAAAAUAUCAUGAAAUAUAUAGAAGUAGGUGGGUGUGGCAAUUGUAAUUCUUGUCUUGAGACGAUGGCGGUAAUCAGCAUUAAAUUAAUCUGUAAUCA